AGGGUUGAUGCAUGGACUAGUUAGACUUGCAAGAGCAGAGGAAAAAUGUUUCAUGAAAUAAGAGAGAAAUAAAUAGGUCAAGAAAAUUUUGAUAUAGAAAACCAUUCAUUCAGAAAGGUGAACUUAAUCACAUUGAGGUGGGAAACAAAGUCACUCUGAGAGUAAAGGGAUGGUGGUGUGCAUGGAUAGUGGGAGAAAUCUCAGACAGUAUUAGGUCAGCCACUGAGAGAAGUUUGAUAGAAAGUCCACAGGAGACAGUUGGUUUUCUGAGUUAGAAUAAAGGAUGAGAACAGAAUGAAUUUGAAGGAGAAACAAUUUUGCCUCAAACAGUCUUUAGUGAAAAAGUUUUACUAGCAUUAAUUUUGUGAAGUAUUUAUGAAAGUACAAUGGUAAAUAGUCCCCAAUCUGAACAGAUAAUUCACCAAGUGUUCAAUACAAACCCUUCUCUUCUUGGGUAAUUUACAGCAUUCCAGGCCCUAAUCUAAGCCCUUCUCAUGAAUAAUUCACUUUAUCCUCCCCCAAAUUCUAUGAGAUAGAAUCUACUAUCAAAUCCAUUUUAGAUAUGAGUAGCUGAGGCAUAGACUGUUAAGGGUUUUAAUCAAAGCAAACAAGUUGGCCAAAAUUUGUGCUGGAGUUCAGAUGACAGGGUCUUAAAUAUAGAGCGAUGAGUGAGUGACCAAAAAUAAAUGAGUGUGUGUGUAAGAGAAUGUGAGUAUGUGUGUAAAGCCUUCUUUCUUUUCUUAUCAGGUUUGUGAUGUCAAGAAAAAUGAAAGUCCUAAAGCAAAUCAGAUCUAGGUUGGAAGGUCAUAAGAUCAAAUAUAUGAAAUAAGAGGGCAAUAUUUUUGAAAAGUAGAGAAUUUCAAGUAAGAAAAACAUACAUAAUGAUUUAAGAGAUAAGAAAAAUCCAGAAAUUUGUAGGGUCAACAUGUUUCACUUGGAUAAAGCAGCCAAUAUCUUCUGUAAAGAGAAUUUUGGAGAAGUAUUUUUAUUUUAAAUGACAUUAGGGUUCACAAUAUGAAAAUUUCAGUCAGGUAAAAAAUGAAUCUCUUCCACGAUUAUGAGGAGAUAUGUAUACAUUAAGAAAGUAACUAAUUAAAGAGCAAUGUAAUUUUUUAUGUCUUGGAAUAGUUUGGGAGAAAGCCUUUACUCACUCAUUCCUUUAAUUCAUUUACCACUUGUCUUUGGGCUCCACUGUUCCACACACUUUUAUCGUGGAGUAGAUGGGAGACAAAUUUGGUUUAUUGAUUAUAGAUAGCAUCUAUAAUCAAUAACUCUACCCACAGAGUCUAGUUAGAGGAAAAGUCUGUUGGUUGUUUAAACAGUAAAAUGGAUGAUUUUCUACCCUCAGUUUUCUUGGCUUAGGUUCUGGAGAUGUAUGUCCACAUGACUUACCUGCUUAGCAUCUAAGGGCCUUAAUUUUCUCAUCUGUACAGUAAGAAUUCAUUUUUGAGGUCCUUUCCAGCUCUAACAAUAUAAUGAUGGCUAACGGAUGAUGAGGACUUCCUUCUUGACCAAACUUCAGUCAGGCUCUUUUGAGCCAUGUUCAUCACUAAGGCUUGUCCUUGGCCUGCUGAGCCCAGUUUCUACAGGAAUUCUACCCUUGUUACCUAAUCAAGUUCUUUUUAGUAACUUUCCAGCCACUGCCCCCCUCACUUUGUACAUUGACCAUAAAUCCCUAGCUCAGUUUGUUAUAUGAGGAGUUGAGUCAGUUCUGUAAUGAAGUCUCUUUCUUGGACUGAAAUAGCUCAAAUAUAAUCUGCCUUAUUGUUUUUAACAAAUGUCCAGUGCAACUUCUCCUUGACAUUGAAGGUCAUUGUUUAUUUCUGCAUCUACUGAAUGUAAAAUUGUGGAUGAACAUUUAAAGAGUAAAUGCACAGAAUCUGAUUUCUUCAAUGACAACAAAGCAAAUUUGAAAAUUAAUGUGUGUGUGUGUGUAUGUGUAGAGAGAAUAAGAGAAAGACAGAGCAUGAGAGAUAGAUACAAAGAGAGAGACAGAGAAACAAAGAAAGAUUUACUUUAUUUAUUUAUUUAUUUUUGGCUGCACCGUGCCAUGUGGAAGUUCUUGGGCCAGGGAUUGAACUCUUGCUACAGCAGCUACCUAAGCCACAGCAGUGACAACGCUAGGUACUUAACUCUCUAAGCCACCAGGGAAAGCCAAGAUUGAUUUUUAACAUAUAUGUAUAUAUGUUAUUGAUUUUUAACACACACAUAUAUAUAGGAAGGAAGGUAUGGGAUUAUCUAUUUUCCUAAAAGGUUUCGUAUACUAGCCAUUGUUGGGAGUUCCUUCUUUCCCCUUUAAAAUAAGGCUAAAUUGUGUCUAUGUUCUAGCAUCCUGAUGGAUAAAAUGGUACAUUCCAUUGUCAUGAUUGGAGUCCCUUAAGAAGUAAAUGAAGUGUUGUGCAGAUUGUGGAAUUUUAGAGCAUAUUUCUUUUAUUUUUUGUUAUAUCCUCAUUAAGUCACUUAAAUUUUGCUCAUGAGCUUUAACAUGAAGAUAAUAUAUUUAAAUAUUCAAACAUUAUUUAGACUAGUCCAUGCCACCAUUUUAAGAUAAUGGAGAAAAUCUAAUUUCCAAUUAUGCUAAGCUCCCCUGUCCCAAGAGGAAUAACUUGUUAUGACAUCACUGGAAUUUUAUGAAUUAUAUUUAUUGUAAAAAGAUAUGUUUGAAGAUAAGGCAACUUGUGCCUUCAUUCGUGAUUGUGAAAUGCGUAUUUGCUGUUCUGUAGAAAGUUCUCAAGUACAUAAAUAGAAAACAAAGAUUAAUGGCCAAACAUAUUUUACGCUAAGAAAUCAUCUGAAAAAAGCUGCACACAUGUGGAAAUAUUUCACAUGUAUGUUGGUUAAAGUUACCAUGGUGAAUGCAAGAGUCUUAGCUAUGGAAGAAGGAUUUUUACCUUCUAUGAGAACAUUCUUAAACCUUUAUUUCAGGCAAGAAGUUACUUGAAAUUAUUUAGUGUUUUUUUUUUUUUUUUACCUUCUUAUACAAGCCAGUCAUAAUUUAGGGAUUUAAGAACACACAAUUUUUUUUCUUAUAUUAAAGUUAUUAACAAAAAAUAUUAAAACACACAUCCAAACUGUCAUGUUGAUUAAAUUAAUCCUGAUUUAAAGUGAUAUGGAGGGAUAAAUGAAAAGAAAACCUAAUUUACAUUGGAAAGGAAGACUAGAAUUCAAGUGACAGCUAAAAUAGAUUUAUCACAAGUUAUUCAGUAAGUGAAGAACUAAAAGAUUUGUAUAUAAAAUCAUAAUGGAAUGUUUAGAAUAAAAUUAGCAUGCUUAAAAUGUUCAUAUGAAGUACCUAUGUAUUUAAAAUUCACACUUUCAUUCUUUGAUAUUGAAAUAACCUAAAAGAAUAGCUUGGAGGAAAAGGGUACAAAUAAAAAUAAAAUAGGAUAUAUAUGAAAACAUCCAAAUUUAAUAGGUGAAAUAGCUAACUUAUCACUCCAACAAGGUGAUUUUUCACUCAUUGUUAGAUUGCAAUGAUGAUCAUUAGUACCUUGACUUUAUUCAGUCCAAAGUCAAGUUUCAAAGUAGAAAAUAUCUGAGUUUGGUUCACUAACAGCUUUUAUCAAUUACUUUUUUAUCUUUCUAAAACUUAAUUUUUUCCUAAGCAAUUCUCCUUUCUGCAUCCUAAAAUCCAGUUAACUGGAUUUUAGUUUGUUGUUGACCUAUCCCUGAUAAGGUUGUUAUAUCUCCUAAGAAAGUGGCAAUUUUAAUAAAAUUUUAUAUCAUAAAAAUUUUGUCUCUUUACACAAACUAUUAUUAAAACAAUAAAGAAUAAAUUUGAAUUAAAAAAACAGCUAAAUAAUAAUCCUAACACAAUAGGCCAACCAUUGUAAUUUGUGCUAACCUUUAGUCUCUGACCAUAUAUAUACAUGUAAUAGUCAUGUAAUUUUGAAAUCUGCUUCUUUUUUUCCUUACUUAAUAUUAAAAUGAAAGAUCUUGGGUUAUUAAAUCAUUUUCCAGUGUUGCAGUAAUUUUUUGAAUAUUGCAAAUAAUAUCUUAGAGAUGGAAAGUUUUAUUUUGCUUUUGUAUUUUUUAAUUUAUUUAAAAAUGGGUUUGAGAAAUUGAAGUGUAGAAAUAAUUUUCAAGGUCUUCAGAAUGGUGGUACAGCUUUUCAAAAGCUUUGUACCAAUUUACAAUGCUACCAGUUAGUGUAUAAAUGUACCAGUUUUACCUCUAUCUCAUUAGCAUCAGGUAUUAUGUUCGUUAACGUAAUAGGUUUUAAAUGUACAUUUUCAAUGUUUUAAUUUGCAAGUCUUUAAUUAGUAGAGAACUUAUUCAUGCUACCAGAUGUUUGUUUUCUACCUGGAAUUUUUUAAAAAUUAUUUAUCCACUCUUAUUAUAGGUCCACUCAGGCAAUGGUAUCCUGAUAUUAUCAUAACUUUGAAUAUGUACCUUGUAUUUAAAAUAAUAUCUUUUUUAACGUUUGAUGAAUGUUUUAUGUACUUUUUGAUUUCUACAUUGUUUAAAUUUAUUUGUGAAUAUUUAUAUGAGAUUCCCAUUGGCUUCACACUUUUAUGACCAUUGCAAAUGCGGGGAAUAGGUGGUUUUUUGAAAGGCGGCUGGAUUUUUCGGGCACUGUUUGAAACAAGGUAAAUGGGGAGCAUCCUGAUCUGAUUCUUUAACAUCUUUAGCCUCUCGGAUUCCAGUAAUAGGCUCCCUUAUGGAGGCUGAUGAUACCUGAAGACUCCCAGUAAUAACAUGCAUUCUAAUAGAAAUAUAUAUUUAAAUGAAUAAAGGCAUUGAGAUAAUGUAACAAAAUGGCUAAAGGCCUGAGAAGGGAAGUCAUGGUAAAUUUGUACAAUGUAUAGCUUUUCAAAUUGGAUAGGAUCAGGCAAAGGCAAGCAAUAUUCUAAUACUUGGAGAAUGUAUGCAAAAUGUAAAAGAAUAUAACUAUAAGUAAUGAGAUGACUUGAAGAAAAAUUAAGCAAAUAUAUUUAUAGUCAGCUCAGCAGGUAUGUAUAUAACAGCUCUUACUGAUACUUUGAGUACUUUUCUGAACUUUUUUAUAAAUAGAAGGUGGAGUCACUCAUUAAAGUUCACAUAGCAAGUCAGUGCCAAAAUCAACACCUAGACACUAUUACAAAGACACUAUUUUUGUUUUGCUUUCAGUCUUGGUUCCAGAACUUCCCUCAAAUUAUCCAAAACAUUUCAAAAGGAGGAAUGAAGGUUGAAGUAUAUUGGACAGAUACAAAGAGGCUGGAAAAAAUAAUAACCAAAAAAAUAAAAAAAUAACAAUAAACAAGGAGAAACAUUCUUGCGGUAGUUUCAAUGGUUUGGCUAAUUAGAAAAUCAACUGCAGUGAAACCUGCUUCUGUGCAUCUGAUGAAUCCCACACACACACACCUCAAAUCCCACAACCAGAAAAGUAAUAUUAAUUUUAGUUCCUCAUUCUCUUGCUCUGAAAGUAGAAUUCCUCUUGAUAGCCUCUAGACUUAUAAUGAAGUAUUAAUUAGUGAAGUUGUACUAACUUUACUGGUAUCCUACGGUUUCAGUUUUUCCCCUCUGAAAUGUUUAUGUAAAGUCACUACAUAAUAAACAACAUUAUUUGCAAGUUUUCUUUGAAGGACCAAAAGACCUAAUGUAGCACUUGACUAACCUACAUUGAGCAAUUGAGUUUAAGCUGAAUUGAUUUUUGACUUACGUGCUAAUGACGUCUUCAACAAUAUUCAUGACUUCUUUCUCUUCUCCUCUAAAUUCUUGCAUUUUUCAGUAUUCUUUCACUUC
rnacentral:lncRNA from 1 species